CUCAUCUGUACAAUGGAGAUGAUAAUAGCUACCUCAGAGAACUGUUGAGAGAAUUAAAUUCAGUGAUGAUUGUAAAUGCAGAGCCAACUACAACUUAGCUGGGCUGGCAUUCUGUUCCAGUCUCCAGGCUGCAGAUUGGAUUCGGGCAAGCUCUGUGUGUUUUAAUCUGAGGCCCAGGCCAAAGAGGAAGCAACUAUCUGGAGUAAUCACUCUCAUCGUAAAUAACUAGAGUGCAAAAGAGCAGCCCAGCAAUACAAACAUAUUUCAAGCCUCUGUUCAUUUCACAUGAUCCAGCCCGAAGUCAAGAGUUUUCUGAAAUGUGAGCUGAAAGCCAAGUAUAAGCAUGGAGUUGAAAUGAGCAUGGACUUGUGUUGAGACCACAGAUGCAUCAAGAUUUCAAGCUGUGCAUUAUUUAGGCCAUUUUAUUCAUUUGGCUCCCAUUUGACCACCUCAGCUGCACUGCCAGAGGCCAGCUAAUCCCUCUGCAUCUAGCAUCAUCUAUGCCUGGAUAAUUCACGUAUCUCACCACACAUGUAUAUCAUUUCUUUCUUUUGUAAAUGUGCAUGAAUGUUGUUACAAUGAAUAAAACACAAAUUCAUAGAAAAACUUUCAUGAGUUUCCAGUCACAUUUACCAUAAUCUAU
rnacentral:lncRNA from 1 species